UGGAUGUGAUGUUUCAGAUAUUUAGCUCUUCAAAAACAGAUUGAUUUUAUUGUACAUCCAUGAGAUCUUUACUAGGUAGUGAGAUAUAAAUAUUUAGAUAGAUAGAUAGAUAGAUAGAUAGAACAUGGAGCAGUUUCAAUGUGCAUGAAUGUUCUUUCAUUUUAAAAAAAUCUAAGCAUGAUAACAGUUACUAAUAAAAGUAUAUUGUAAAUGCUUCCAUCCCCAAUGUCUAUUGUGCUAUUUAAAGGAUUGCAUGAGUAACACAGUUGCUAUUGUUAUUUCAUAAUAUCUACUAAAACAAUUUUAAGACAAAGGAUGAGACAGUGAAAAAUAAGCUCUUAUGGUUGUUCCAGAGAUCUUUGUGAUGACUUCUGAUAUCUGAAAGGAAUGAAAUAGUGUUGUUUGAAUUGUCUUCUACUCUGUCACAACAACAACAAUUCUUUAGAGAUUAGUCACUUUUGACCAUAUCAAAACAUGUAAAACAUACAAUACGUACACACUUACGCAUACAUACAAUAAAACCAUGUAAAGAUACAAAACAUCCCGACCUGCGGCCUAAUAACCCGCUCCUAGACAAAUACAGAGUAAAAAGGUUAAAAUUAGUAAUUUCCUAAGGAAAGGUUUGAACAAGGACAGGGGUAAGUAAAGCAAGUGUCUUGUCCGUAGUAAAUUUUAAGUUUGGAUUUUGUUAGUGGCAAUAAUGUAUCAGCUCUCAGCUUCCAUCUUCUCACGAAUGGCCAGCGCUUUUUGUGUAAAAAGGGCCAGUUUUAAAAUAGAGUUUUUAUCUGAACCCUGUAGAAGGAUAUGCAAUAUAAACUCCACUUGCCUAGUUUCUAACAGACCUCACAACCUCUGAGGAUGCUUGCUAUAGAUGUGGGUGAAAUGUCAGGAGAGAAUGCUUCUGGAACAUGACCAUACAGCCUGGAAAACUCACGGUAACCCAGACCUAAGAUACUCUACAGUCAGAGGUGAAGAAUAACACAGUGUCCACUCCCUUUCCAAGUGUGAAAACUAAAUGGAUUGGCAUUUGCAGGUCUCUUCAACUAGCCUUCCACCAGUUGCAGGCUUGGUGGCAUAGCAGACAAGUUCCUCCUCCAAUAUCUUGAUGUCAUCUCAUAGCUUUUGUGACCUGCGGCAUCAACCUCAGUCUUUCUCAAGGUAUAGCUGGCUCCAAAGAGAAGAUAUUUCUCAAUUCAAUUUCCAUGGUGCUUCAGGGUGAUUUUGUUCAUACACUGAUUGAUGCUAGCUUGCUUUCAAGAUGGUUCUCUCACAGAAAAAAAAAUCCCUGUUGAAGACUAAAUGUUCUUUCUGAUGCUACUAACUGGGAAAGAGAGGAAGGGG
rnacentral:lncRNA from 1 species